AGAGUUUGAUCCUGGCUCAGAACGAACGCUGGCGGCAUGCCUAACACGUGCAAGUCGAACGAGAUCUUCGGGUCUAGUGGCGCACGGGCGCGUAACGCGUGGGAAUCUGCCCUUUGGUUCGGAAUAACAGUUGGAAACGACUGCUAAUACCGGAUGAUGACGAAAGUCCAAAGAUUUAUCGCCAGAGGAUGAGCCCGCGUAGGAUUAGCUAGUUGGUGUGGUAAAGGCGCACCAAGGCGACGAUCCUUAGCUGGUCUGAGAGGAUGAUCAGCCACACUGGGACUGAGACACGGCCCAGACUCCUACGGGAGGCAGCAGUGGGGAAUAUUGGACAAUGGGCGAAAGCCUGAUCCAGCAAUGCCGCGUGAGUGAUGAAGGCCUUAGGGUUGUAAAGCUCUUUUACCCGGGAUGAUAAUUACAGUACCGGGAGAAUAAGCUCCGGCUAACUCCGUGCCAGCAGCCGCGGUAAUACGGAGGGAACUAGCGUUGUU
rnacentral:rRNA from 1 species